UCGGCUUAGAGUUUGAUCAUGGCUCACAUUGAACGCUGGCGGCAGGCCUAACACAUGCAAGUCGAGCGGUAGGGAAGCUUGCUUCUCACGAGCGGCGGACGGGUGAGUAAUGUAUGGGGAUCUGCCCGAUAGAGGGGGAUAACUACUGGAAACGGUAGCUAAUACCGCAUAAUCUCUAAGGAGCAAAGCAGUUCGUUGCGCUAUCGGAUGAACCCAUAUGGGAUUAGCUAGUUGGUGAGGUAAUGGCUCACCAAGGCGACGAUCCCUAGCUGGUCUGAGAGGAUGAUCAGCCACACUGGGACUGAAACACGGCCCAGACUCCUACGGGAGGCAGCAGUGGGGAAUAUUGCACAAUGGGCGCAAGCCUGAUGCAGCCAUGCCGCGUGUAUGAAGAAGGCCUUAGGGUUGUAAAGUACUUUCAGUUGGGAGGAAGGCGUUGAUUAAUAUCAGCGAUUGACGUUACCAACAGAAGAAGCACCGGCUAACUCCGUGCCAUCAGCCGCGGUAAUACGGAGGGUGCAAGCGUUAAUCGCAAUUACUGGGCGUAAGCGCACGCAGGCGGUUGAUUAAGUUAGAUGUGAAAUCUCCGGGCUUAA
rnacentral:rRNA from 1 species